UCCCUGGGAAGUCCUCGUGUUGCAUCCCU
rnacentral:rRNA from 1 species